UACGUAGGGGGCAAGCGUUGUCCGGAAUUACUGGGCGUAAAGGGCGUGUAGGCGGAUAUAUAAGUUAGGUGUGAAAACUCAAGGCUCAACCAUGAGACUGCAUCUAAAACUGUAUACCUUGAGGAUGAGAGAGGAAAGUGGAAUUCCUAGUGUAGCGGUGAAAUGCGUAGAUAUUAGGAGGAACACCAGUGGCGAAGGCGACUUUCUGGCUCAUAACUGACGCUGAGGCGCGAAAGCGUGGGGAGCAAACAGG
rnacentral:rRNA from 1 species